AUGGGGCGCCCCGCGCUCGCCUGGGCACCCCGGGAACACGGGACCCGGGAGGGGGCGGCCCCCGCCUUGCUGGGGUCGGGUUCCCCGCCUGUGCCCCCUGCCUCAGGGUUUGCAGGAGUGAAAGAAACGGGUAGAUUCCUCUUAAAAAAAAAAUCUGGGGCAGUGGCUCGCGGCCUCCCCCCACCCCCAGCCUUCCCAGCAGAUUUUGUCCGAGGAAUCCGCUCCCCCUCCCGGAAUCUCCGCGGCAGGAACGCUGCCCAGGAGGGGGAGGGCGGGCGGCGAGGCCGAGGAAUCUUCGACGUGUCACUUUCUGAGGCUGUAGAUUUCCAUAUGGUGGAGGAAAGAGGGCGGGUGUGCGAAGUGGGGCUGGAAGUUGGGGCCGCCUCUCCGCGCCGGCGGGGGCAGUCGGGGGCCUCGAACCCGGGGAUGCUCUCGGGGAGGGUCCCGAGCCCGCGCCGGCCUGGCUCCCCCGCCCCCGGCUGGGCCUCUCCGGGACACUCCCCGCCCCGCUGCUGGCCACCUCCGAGCGCGCCACGUCCUCCCUCCCCGUCCUGCCCCCCGGGCUCCCCCCGGGCUGGGGGCGGUAACCGGCGGCCGCGGCCGGACUUGGCGAGCCUGGCGGCUGGAAGCUCGGGCGGGGGAGCGGGGCGCGGCGGGAAGGAGCGGGCGACCCGGUGUGUGGGCCAGCGGAGCUCCGGUCAGUCCGUCACCCCGAGGGGCGCCUCGGCCGGGGGUGGGGCGGGCGGGCGGAAUCUGCUCCCCGAGGCGGCCAGGAGAGGCCGCGCGGACCGUCUGGUGCCCGCGGCUGGGCUGGGGCCAGCAGGCGUGGGAAGGGCCUGUCACUCUCGGCAGAAAGUGGGGCCUCGGGCUGUGCCCGCGAACUUUCCCAGAGGUCCGGGUCCUGGCGUCCCGUGGGAGCCAGAGGACCCGGACCCGCCGUCUCGGGAGACUGGGCUGCGCCGCCCGGCGGCGCCUUUGGCGGGGAGGCUUCCAGGAGUGCGCGGUCGGAGUUGGAGCUUUUGGAAUCUCAGCUCCCACCCUGCCAUCCCAGACGAAGGGAAGCAAUGGCAUUUUAUUCAGACAUUGCCGUUUGCAGACUUCCUUAAAAGUUAUAACUUUUUAUUUUCUUUUCUCCUCAACUCAGCAUUUUCUUUAAACAAAAUUUAG
rnacentral:lncRNA from 1 species